AAAUUGAAGAGUUUGAUCAUGGCUCAGAUUGAACGCUGGCGGCAGGCCUAACACAUGCAAGUCGAGCGGUAGCACAGAGAGCUUGCUCUCGGGUGACGAGCGGCGGACGGGUGAGUAAUGUCUGGGAAACUGCCUGAUGGAGGGGGAUAACUACUGGAAACGGUAGCUAAUACCGCAUAACGUCGCAAGACCAAAGUGGGGGACCUUCGGGCCUCAUGCCAUCAGAUGUGCCCAGAUGGGAUUAGCU
rnacentral:rRNA from 3 species